rnacentral:rRNA from 1 species
GACGAACGCUGGCGGCGUGCCUAAUACAUGCAAGUAGAACGCACAGUUUAUACCGUAGCUUGCUACACCAUAGACUGUGAGUUGCGAACGGGUGAGUAACGCGUAGGUAACCUGCCUGGUAGCGGGGGAUAACUAUUGGAGACGAUAGCUAAUACCGCAUAAUAUUGAUUAUUGCAUGAUAAUUGAUUGAAAGAUGCUAUUGCAUCACUACCAGAUGGACCUGCGUUGUAUUAGCUAGUAGGUGAGGUAACGGCUCACCUAGGCGACGAUACAUAGCCGACCUGAGAGGGUGAUCGGCCACACUGGGACUGAGACACGGCCCACACUCCUACGGGAGGCAGCAGUAGGGAAUCUUCGGCAAUGGACGAAAGUCUGACCGAGCAACGCCGCGUGAGUGAAGAAGGUUUUCGGAUCGUAAAGCUCUGUUGUAAGAGAAGAACGGGUGUGAGAGUGGAAAGUUCACACUGUGACGGUAUCUUACCAGAAAGGGACGGCUAACUACGUG